rnacentral:rRNA from 1 species
UACGUAGGGAGCAGGCGUUGUUCGGAUUUACUGGGCGUAAAGCGCGCGUAGGCGGCUUUGCAAGUCGGGUGUGAAAUCCCCAGGCUUAACCUGGGAACUGCAUUCGAGACUGCAUUGCUAGAGUAUGGGAGAGGGAAGUGGAAUUUCCGGUGUAGCGGUGAAAUGCGUAGAUAUCGGAAGGAACAUCAGUGGCGAAAGCGACUUCCUGGACCAAUACUGACGCUCAUGUGCGAAAGCGUGGGGAGCAAACAGG